ensembl:lncRNA
AAACUUUUUAAGGUAUCUAAAUGUGCUCCAGUUAUUCAGCUUCUAGUUGAAGCUUUUAUUCAGAAGAGACAGUGAUGUGAAAACCUAUGUAUCCAUGAGUUUCAGGAUCUGCAUUACAGCCAUUUUUGAGUAUUUAUUAUUGCAACAUCAGGAUGACUUUUGGGUGAAGUUUGGUGGGUUCCCAUAAUGAAAAUCCUUGAGAGCUGGAAUGGAUUCUCCUGAGAGGCUGUGGAAUUGCCAUUGCUGAAGAUUUUCAUAACUUGACAAGGAUAUGAGCAGUCUGAUGCUGCCAGGAGGUUAGUAUUCCUUGGAGCAGGAAAAUGGACCAGAAAACCUGCAGAGGAUCUUCUUAGCCACAGUUAUUCUGAUUUUAAAAUAUGAAAAUGGCAUUAUAUUGGUAAUAUCAAAAUUGCAGAAAAAUACCCCUUAUGUCCUUUUUUUUUUUUUUUUUUUUUCCUUUUUUUUUUAAUUAUUUCUCUAAGGUUUUUUUGAAUGCUUAUAGACAAAUCAGUAUUUCAGUCAGUCUAAGCCUUUUAUUCAGCAUGGUACUUUGAUGCAACUAUGCCAUUAGUUAUAUCAAAAAAUACUAAGUUUAGUUAUUUUGGAUCAGUAUUUUUUCCAAACUUAGAGUUUUGAAAGAUUUUUGAUUGUUACUGGCUUGCUCAGUUAUAUCCAACCUUAAGAUAUGUUUUCAUGAUCAAAACUUAACUUCUUCUGAAUUCUAAUUUCUAAUUUCUAAAUUCUAAUAUCUUGAAUAUGAUACUGCCCCAUCUCCCUUGUAUUUUCCCUUGCUCAUGUGGAGGAUAUAUGUGAAACGCUAGCUACAAACGUGACUACAAGCACUGGAGAUUUCCAUAUUUAAAAGGUUAUUUAUAUUAUGUGUUCCCUUUUUUGAAUUUUAAUCCACGCUAUGAAAGUUACAUAUGUCCUGUUUGCAACAGUGCACCAUUCCAGAAAGAAAAAUAUAGAGAUACUGGGAAAAUCCAAACAUUUGCUAAUAUUUUACUCCUACUGGUAGAAUGAUGACAUUCCACUGAAAAUCGUUGUUAGAAAUAUUAUUUUAAUGAGUUGCAAUUUAGGUUACUUAUUGUCAUGUGGUUAUGGCGCAUGUUGUAAUGUCAGGUAUGCUUAUGUAUUCUAAGGACAGUAAUGUGCUCAGGAGUUGACUGUGCUUGAAUGCAGCUGCCAUUUUAAUACACUGAAGUGUCUGCUCAUGUAUCUGCAUAUGUAGUAGGUUAUUGAAGGCUUAGGGGCAGCAGAUAGAAAUGGAUAAAGAAUAUACUAUAAGAUCGCAAAACUCUUCUGCCUCUAUUUGAAAAUUAGGAUGAGGGAACUUCAAUCAAAAUGCAAAUGUGCUGGAAGAAGGCAGUAGUUUCUUCUCUAAACAGGCAUGUGCAUGGGAAAAAGAGUCAGGAGGGUUUUGUUUGCUUUCCAGCAACUGAAGCUUGUAAUGUUUCCCAGAAUGCCUAGAAUCUUUAUAUACAAAUAUGGGCAUAGGCUUUAUUCUUUGAAUCCUAUUUUAAGCUUACUGCUAAGUCCAAAUAUACACGGAAGAGCUGAUGGGAAUUUCUAACGUCUUGAAGACAGCAAAAAUAAAUAAAUAAAUAAAUAAAUAAUAAAAAAAAUUAACCAUUCUAGCUCUGCUGUGGACAGAGAAUUUAUUUCUCUUUACUGAAGUGCCCUGAACAGAAGACACUAUUUUAACCAAACAUUGAACUCGAAGAAGACAUUAAUAACAUAAGGGUGCAUAUCCAAACCAAAAAUAUGUAUAUAAACAGCUACUGUGAAAGGGUAUUUAUGUAGCUAGUCAAGAUGUAAUAUAUGAUUUCUGCAGGAACAGUAAGAGACAACUAAUUUCAGUAUCAUCUGUUUUGUAUGUAGUGUGUAUGCAAAGUCGGGUCUUGUGCACAAACACUUUGUGUAUGAUUGAAUAUUAGUGUUCUACCAUUAGCACAGUAAGUCAGCGUGCAGGGGAUCUGAGACACAAGUGGAUUUGAAGCAACACAGCAACUAACAACAGAAACCUCAGUGGUGCUGCAAAACCUCUCAAGAGCUGGUGAUUGGAUGAUAUAAAACAAAGCCUCAGUCAUAACUUGCCAUUUACACCUAUCCGUGCUGUAAUUGAGUGAAAAGAGCUCACUGAAGGUUUCUCCUUGUACCACUGCUGUGUUCUUCCCUCAGUGUAACAUCCCUCUGUGCUAAUGUGGGCAUGUUCUACAAGAGGAAAAGGAAAGACAGCGGAGAGGAAAACACUUCUUGUCUUGAGUAAAAGAUCUGUCAGGUACUCGUCCCUAUCCUGACUCCUUGACCAUAUGGAGAGGAUUGCAGCAGUCAGCUGGGAUGUGAGAACUAAUCUUCCUGCUGUUGUCAGCAGUCAAGCGCAUGCACUGGAUGUAGGGUACUAAGGAAGAGUAAUAAUGAAAGAGGUGGCAAUAUGUUUUGGAUCAUGUAGGGUAAGAUGUUACCUCCAAGAAAGAUAAAAUCAUGAAGCCACCCUUCACACUCAUCUCCUGAGACUUCAGGUUGAACUUCUUUCCGGCAUUGCACUCUGAAAAGUAUAUGAGGAAGAAAAUACAAGGAAUUAGGAAUCAGAGCUACAGAAGAGAACUGCAGCACCGAGAAAGGAAUAUAAAACACCGGAAGUUUCACAGUGUAUUUUCUUUUCUCAUUUAUCAAAUAGUAUUCUGGCCAGGGCCUAUUUGAAAUGUACUGUAUUAAAAUGAUCAGGAAAAAAAAAAAAAAGUACUGUUUUUUGCAUGGUUUACAAUAUUUUGUUAACAUCUUAUCAGCUUUAAACUGUAUGCCCAGUGAUGGGUAGCAUAAAAUGUAGUAUAUGUUUAAUACGGGGUUCUUGUGAUGCUCUCUGCAGUCUACCUGCUGGUGUUUUUGAAAUCCAUUUCCAGAAGGAACCACACUCCAAGAAAAUGUUUAAAUUUUGCAUUAUUACAGGUAUAAUCUGAUAGAAGUGGGUUAGCCUGUGAUUCAGUGUGGCUUGUGUGCAGCCGAACUGUGGGCCUUGCUGCAGCCUGCAUGACUGGUAUGGCAGCGCAAAGCCGCGCUGGUGUGCGAGGCUGUUAGGCAAUCGGUAUUCCUGGCUGAGGAAGACAGUGAAUCAGCAGGCAUGGCUGAAGGUGACAGUGACAAAUGGCCCCGAGUCUCUGCUGUGUAGCCAGCACAGUCAAGUCUUGUUCUUCAGCCCAGUGAUGAAACUGGUGAGGUUCCCUCCAGAGGAUCACAUCAACAGCAAUUUAUCCUCAAUUCUUCAAAGACCAUGGCGUGAGUCUUCUGACUUUGAGACACAUGCAGAUAUGAGUCUCUGGCCCAGAGGCAAGAAACUGGAUUUCUCUUGCUUAGAAGAAUGUGCAUUUAUUGUAAAUCUUCCAUCCACUUGGGAAUUCUUCUGGGGCCCUGAUUUUUUUUUCCAGUGCUGGAUAUAUUUGGCUGCAAUAGGGACUGUAGAAUGAAUGACAACUUUGUUUCCAUAAAGCUGGAAGGAGUCAGAUGUUCAAAGUUCAUUAAAGUCUUUUUCCUAUCUUAGGAGCUCCACGGAUAUGCAAUAUGAAAGUAGGAUUUUUUUCUUAGGCUCUAGAGAACUCAUUUUCUUUCUGUUUUGCAUCUCUGUGUUGUUGAAUCUGUCUUGUUGUAUUGCUACCAGGUGUCUUUAGAGCAAAAGCUUUCAGAUUAGAAGAGUCUGAAUCAGGAUGCAAAGGAUCAACUCUAAGAUGUUGUCCAAGAGUACUUUUUCUUGUUCCUUCCUGUCAUGGCUCAGCUGCAGAGAAUUUACCUUGUCUUUUUGCUGCUGUUCUUGUUCUCAGAUGUUUUGCAUUUAGAUGAACCAGCAGAACUCAGACAGCAGGAAUUACCCAUACGGAUGGACUAUCACCACAUCAUCUGGAAAGGCCUCAAUACUGAGCAUGUGUCUCUUGAUGUUCCAUUUCCGUGGAAUCGAUGAGAGGGAUUGGACAUACUGACUCUGCAGUACCAGUCAUCUUUUGUGUCCCUCUGCUUCCUAUGGGACUUUCAGGCAUGGACACUGCAUCCCACCUGCCCAUGAUAUCCUCAGUGUGCUAGAUCAUAGCAAGGCUUACUGAUAAGAGGAAAAUAUGACACUAAAUCGUCUAAUUCUUGAUCGAGGGCAGUUAAACUCACAACUGGCAGCUGCCAUCAUAUCACACUGUGAAUACAAAGGUCGCAGAGAGUCUGAGCAACACUUAAGGUCACUUGUCCUUGAACAAUUUAUAACGUGGACCCCACACUAGAGGACUGUGUGGAGGUUAUUGGUGUAGUGCUCAUGCAGAGGGCAUGGCAAACAAGGCAGCAGAAACGGAGAAUCUGUGUCCUGGCUUUAGAACAUCUCCUGGCAGAUGUGCUGCUCCCAUGAGAAGCAGUAAGAUGGGUGUGGAGAGAGAGUGGUGUACUUCCAUACCACAGCUUUCAGGUCUUCCUGGGCUGACAAGAGCACUCCUACUGCCAGCAGGCAAAAAGCAGGAGGAGAUUUGGAAAUGGAGCUUCGGUAGUUUGUUCCGCUCAUUACACCCAGUUCUUUCCAGUCAGUUGGUUAUCCAUUAGCUUGGGAAGUACAAAAAUCACCUGGAGGUAUCACAGCUCUUUUAGGGCAUAUUUAGAAGAUGUAUCUCCCUGUUGUUCUCUCCUUCCAUUUGUCAUCUUUCUCAUUACAGAGGAGCUUAUUCGCUAGCCACUUUGCCAACUCUAGGAUUUAUAGCAGCUGAAGAGAGUACUUUAGGCAGGGAGGAGUGACUGCAUUGACCUCAAACUCCCAGAACUCUCCAAGAAGUCAGUGUAUUAAAGAUAAUGAUGUACCAAGGCGAUAAAAUGUAGAGGCAAUAAAAAUGUUAUACAGAUGUUAAUGCAUACAAGCAAAAUACACAAUAUGAAAAUGGAAAAAGCCCUAAAUAACUACUGGACAUUUUACAUUGUCUUAAAUACACUUCUGCAGCACCUGUGUGGUUCAGUGGCACAAUUUGUCAUGCAAAUCAUGUUGCUUGCCAGAUAAACCAAAUCUUUCUGACAUCCCCAGUCUCAUUUGUGGGACACUGGUGACAAACUUCAAAACUAGGGUGUGGGAGAAAAGUGGAGAAGGGAAACUGAGACCAGCUUAGAAUAUUUUAUUUAAUUUAUAGUGCCUUGAAUUCCUUUUCCUUCUUUUUCCAGUAAUGGAAGAAAGAAAACUCUCCAGUUCUCUGAAGCUACAGCUCUUGAUCUAUGGCCUUUACUUUGGAAAGCACUUAUGUAUGCUUCCAAGUAUUCUUUUCCUUUUUUAAUAGAUGGGACUUAAGCGGAUGUUUAAGUAGUUUGUUUUUGCACUGGUAGUCUUACAAACUAAUAGCUAAUGUUAUGGGUUAAUAUUAUAGCUAUGCUGAAGGGCUGCUGCUGCCUGAGCCCCAGCAAAUGGAAGAUAUGAAGGGAACCAGGAUGUGCAGAAAUGCCUACUCCUGUUGGAAAUAACUUUGUCUUUGCCAAAAAGGGGAGAAUGUGUGAGAAAAGGCUUAUGAUUUCAGCCAGCCUUACUUUUCAAUGUACUGCACAAAAAAGCACAACAAACCUUCCAUAAAUUAUCAGUUCUUUCCAGUUUUAUUAAACAUAGAGAACCUGUGAUCCUCUUUGUUAAUUCUCUGUGCUGUGUACAGCUAACCCUUUAGUUGUCCUUCACACAUAUUUUGAGAAUAAAAAUUCCUGCAGCUGGAAUACGUCGUAUUGACCAUGUUUUUUGUCCAACAAAGGCUGGAGGAACAUAGAGUUCAAAUGAAUACAUAACGUUUUGUUAAGUUUUUGGCAACUUUACAUGGACAGACUUUAACAAAUGACAAAUUGUGCUUGUCAGCAUAGCAAACUUUGUGCUUCUUAUCAUGUACAGUAUUUCUGAAAAUGGCCAAGAGCAUAACUAUAAAGUGUGUCUGUGUUGUGUAUAGGGUUCUUUGGGAGUAUUAAAAACACAGUGCUCAUGAAUGUAGUUGUUAAUGCUUAAGCUGUAUCUGUUAGUGUGCAAAACCAUAUUUCCUGGUCUAGUAGUAUCUGUGUAAGGAUAGAGGAGUUGCCUGGCACAGUGGAGAUCAGCCUAGUAGGGUGGUGCGAGGCUGGUGGGCAUGGACUGGCACCCUACCAAAUCUUCUGCCUCUGCUGUUGUUGCACACAACACAACUCUGCCCUCUGUAGCUGAUGGCACGUCUGUAUGUGAGCUACCAGGUGUCAGAGCUUCAAAAUGCUGUACAAGAAGAAGAUAAUAAUCUCAAAGGCUAAAAGAGGGCCCAUCUGUUGUCAAUGGGUGUGCCGAGCUCUUUUGCAGCCUUCCGUCUUCCAGAGGACAAAUUACUUUGUUAACUGUUUGCAGCCACCUUAACUCACCUUUUAAAGGAAGAUUUAAAGCUUUUUUAGUUUAACUUUGUAAAAGUUUUUUUUUUUCUUUGUAAUGUCUUUUUAUGAAUCUUAGAAAAGAAAAAACACUGUUUUGGACUUCAUUUUCUUUACCCUGUGUUGGCUGGUAUUUUGCUUUCACUGGUUUUUGUUUCUUUGGAGUUGACAGUGAGGGCACUGGUGUUCCAGUUUAGAAGUACACCUUGUUACCGAAAUGAUGCUGAUCCGCUACAAAAAUGCAGUUAACAUUUUAUAAACAAACAUUUCCCAAUCAUCAUUUUUCUCUGUGAUUUCACAAUGACAAAGCAUGAGGGUAAACAUAAUAUUAAAAUGGGAAUCAUGAUACUCAUGUCAGUGCAACUGUAAAAGCCUAAUCAGUGAUCUCAAAGUCCUUGAAUUUUAAAUACUAUUAUGAUAUGAUUAUUUUUUGCAACACUAAACAGUUAAAUUUUAUACUUAAACACCAUAUCUUCUUUCACUAGCACAUAAUCUACCAGUCAUAUGUUUUAUGAUGAUGUGAGCAUGUAUCUUACCAGCAAAUGUUCUGGCCAACAAUAGCAUCGUUUUUUCAUAAGUAGGAGGAAAAAUAUUUUAAAAAUAGCUUGAGAUAAACCCAACCAGCAGUAAAAGUCUGAUUGUUAAUGCAGAAGAAAUAUGCAAAAAGUAGAAAAAUGAGUUUUCUCAAUAUAUCCUUUGUGAACACCAAACCGUAAAAUAUCACUAGUUUAUCAACAGUACUAAAUAGUGAUUUUUUAAAAAAUGAAAUAGAAAAAAAAACACUAAAAUACACAGAAAGGUUUACAGAACAAAAUUACGUUAUUUUGUUAGUCAAGAUUGAUAUUCUUUAAUUUCUUUAAGUAGGAAAAAAAGACAAGUUAAUGAUAUAUGAGGCCUACACUAAUAAGCUGGAGAUAAACCGAAAUUUUAAUGCAUAGUCCUGCUGUUCGAACAACACUAAAUGUUCUUCUCUCAUAGUUUAACAGAAAAUGGUUGAUUUUUGGUCUUACUUUCAUGUAAUGUAUGUAUUUAAUGAUGAAAAAUACAGUGUUCAUAACCAUUGACUACAUACCUAUAAACUCAAUUAGCUGUGUAGCUUCAUUCUUUGGGAGUCAGAAGGUGUCCCAGGCUAUAUAAUCUGUUGAAUUGACCCGCUUCAGCAAUACAGAAUUGCUAUCGCUGCUUUGACAAUGAAAGAAAAAUACAGUCCUACUUUAACAGUUCUGAAAAUAUCUUGCUUCCAAUGGAAAUCUUAAGGACUGAUAGGUGAGGAAGCACAGUAUAAUUCUGUGAUUAAAAUACUCAGAGGACAUGAAUGGAGACUAUCCUUACUCCUGAUUUUUAUUGUUAUUUAAACAUUGACAACUUACAAAUUUGGGAAUACAAUUAUUUGUUUCAUCAGAAUCCCAUUCCAAAGGAGAACAAUUUUAGAGAAUUGAAUCAUCUUUAAAAUUUGUUAUUCAUUUAGUUAUUGUUAAUAUUAGACAAACUAAUUACAUUGACAGCCCAUGGAAAGAGAUACUCAGGAUGUUGUUAUACUAUGUAUAAUAGUAAAAUUGUAAAAUUUUUACAGAUACAGUUAAUAAAGUCUUUGUUAGAA